CAUUGACCUCGGAUCAGGUAGGGAUACCCGCUGAACUUAAGCAUAUCAAUAAGCGGAGGAAAAGAAACCAACAGGGAUUGCCUCAGUAACGGCGAGUGAAGCGGCAACAGCUCAAAUUUGAAAUCUGGCUCUUUCAGAGUCCGAGUUGUAAUUUGUAGAAGAUGUUUCGGGUGAGGCGCCAGUCUAAGUCCCUUGGAACAGGGUGUCAUAGAGGGUGAGAAUCCCGUAUGUGACCGGCGACCGAGUCCAUGUGAAACUCCUUCGACGAGUCGAGUUGUUUGGGAAUGCAGCUCAAAAUGGGUGGUAAAUUUCAUCUAAAGCUAAAUACCGGCCAGAGACCGAUAGCGCACAAGUAGAGUGAUCGAAAGAUGAAAAGCACUUUGGAAAGAGAGUUAAAAAGUACGUGAAAUUGUUGAAAGGGAAGCGCUUGCAACCAGACCUGCCUGUGGGCGUUCAGCGGGGGUUCUCCCCCGUGCACUCGUCCACAAACAGGCCAGCAUCGGUUUCGGUGGCCGGAUAAAGGCUCCAGGAAUGUAGCUCCCUCCGGGGAGUGUUAUAGCCUGGGGUGCAAUACGGCCAACCGGGACCGAGGACCGCGCUUCGGCUAGGAUGCUGGCGUAAUGGUUGUAAGCGACCCGUCUUGAAACACGGACCAAGGAGUCUAACAUCUAUGCGAGUGUUUGGGUGUCAAACCCAUGCGCGGAAUGAAAGUGAACGGAGGUGGGAGCCCUUAAGGGUGCACCAUCGACCGAUCCAGAAGUUUACGGAUGGAUUUGAGUAUGAGCAUAGCUGUUGGGACCCGAAAGAUGGUGAACUAUGCCUGAAUAGGGUGAAGCCAGAGGAAACUCUGGUGGAGGCUCGCAGCGGUUCUGACGUGCAAAUCGAUCGUCAAAUUUGGGUAUAGGGGCGAAAGACUAAUCGAACCAUCUAGUAGCUGGUUCCUGCCGAAGUUUCCCUCAGGA
rnacentral:rRNA from 1 species